GAUCUCAUCGUAGGAAAAUGCGAAUCUUCAUUUCCACUAGAUAAGGAACUUUUUGAAACCAAUGGACGAUUGAAGGAUCCGGACCAGUUUGGUUUUUGGGUCACCUCAUGCAAUCAGCUUUUUGUAUUCGGCAAAUCUUUGGUGA